AUGGAAGUUCAUCAGUCCCCCCAGGGUCACUGUCACCUUUUCCCAUGGUGGAUGAGGCAUACCAAUUUCAUUUCCCUCAUAUGUGUGAAAUCCACUAGAUGUCCCUGCAGCUAUCUUAGAAGUUUCUAUCAACAUUUCUUAGUUCCAAGAAAGAAGGAUUGGCAAAAGGAGUGGAUGCUGUAUGCCUCCACUGGAGACAACAUAGUAUCCCCUUUCGGGGGAAGAAAAAGGGUUUACUGGGAGCUGAGCAAGCUGACAAAAGGAAUUUCUAAGCUUGACCCCUGGACCUUGGACAAGAAUAGUCUCUACCUCAAUGUUCCAUGAGAAUAUUUGGGAAUCACUUGUGAUUUUUCCAAGAGUGCAUACAUCGACCUUGAAAUGAACUCUACUUAAAAAUCUAAUGGAGAUCCAAUAUCAUUUUAUGUCCUUCCCCAUUCCCCCUCUGUGUACAGCAUAGAGGAAAGGAGGAAGCAUCUGACAGAUCUUUUUUCCAACUGUAGGGCAAAAUCCCUUGUCACCGAGUUAAGCUAUCUUUGAAUUCAAGAAAAUCAAAAUUCAUAUCUAAGUGCCUUCUUCUUGAAUCUCUUAACUCAUUCUCUUGUCUUUCAACUUAUGUUCAAUAAUUGGGGAGAGGAUUUUCAGGUUAAGAUGGUCCCAGAGUAGAAGCAUGGCUCUUCUUCUCCUCACUUGCGACCAAGAUACAGAACCUUGAAAGGAGAAAACCAAAGGCAUACAAAGUGAAGGAGCUCCAACAUAGGGCACAGAACAGACAGAAGGCAAAAUGUGGGCAUUUCUCCACUAAAAGGGGGGAAAUUUACUCCCACCAGGGAAUGAAUUCAUCACUCCUACCUCAUUCCACCUACGGCACCAGAGUUGGAGCCGGCACUGGGAAAAUUCUGGCUUCACAGAGGGUGACAAGUUGAAGUCAGCACAGACUUACCCCUAAGAGAAAUGAGACUUAGGACCCCAUAAGGCUGAGGAAAAGUGGAUAUAGGGCAUGGAGGUUGGACAGAGAAGGGGUGACUCAUAGCAGACACUGCAGAGAUUAUAAGGAAAGCCUCUGGGUAAAAAACCAUUUCACAACUCAAUAUAGAGUAUUGUCUACACUCCACACCCAGAUGUCUGUGGGGCAGUUUUUAAGUUCUCAGGGGCUAGAUGUGCUCCUAAGAACAUUGAGACAUAGGUCCCCAGGAGGCUGAGGAACACGGAGCUUGGAAAAAGAGAUUGCACAGAGCUGCUUAUAGCAGACACUGCUGCAGAAACUUGAAAAAUAGCCUCAGGGCAACAACCUAUCUGGAGCUCAAUACAAAGAUUGCCCAUCUUG
rnacentral:lncRNA from 1 species